rnacentral:rRNA from 1 species
GAUCCUGGCUCAGGAUGAACGCUGGCGGCGUGCUUAAUACAUGCAAGUCGAACGAAGAUAUUUCGCUGAGGCGAGCUUGCUCAAUUCUUGAAAUAUCUUAGUGGCGGACGGGUGAGUAACGCGUGGGUAACCUGCCUUACACAGGGGGAUAACAGUUAGAAAUGACUGCUAAUACCGCAUAAGCGCACGGUAUCGCAUGAUACAGUGUGAAAAAGAUUUAUCGGUGUAAGAUGGACCCGCGUCUGAUUAGCUAGUUGGUGAGGUAACGGCCCACCAAGGCGACGAUCAGUAGCCGGCCUGAGAGGGUGAACGGCCACAUUGGGACUGAGACACGGCCCAAACUCCUACGGGAGGCAGCAGUAGGGAAUAUUGGACAAUGGGGGCAACCCUGAUCCAGCCGACGCCGCGUGAGUGAAGAAGUAUUUCGGUACGUAAAGCUCUAUCAGCAGGGAAGAAAAUGACGGUACCUGACUAAGAAGCACCGGCUAAAUACGUGCCAGCAGCAGC